CCUACGGGCGGCAGCAGUGGGGGAUAUUGGACAAUGGGGGGAACCCUGAUCCAGCGACGCCGCGUAAGUGAAGAAGUAUUUCGGUAUGUAAAGCUCUGUCAGCAGAGAAGAAAGAAAUGACGGUACCUGACCAAGAAGCCCCGGCUAACUACGUGCCAGCAGCCGCGUUAAUACGUAGGGGGCAAGCGUUAUCCGGAAUUACUGUGUGUAAAGGGAGCGUAGACGGUUAAGUAAGUCUGGAGUGAAAGGCCGGGGCGCAACCCCGGGACUGCUCUGGAAACUAGUGAACUUGAGUGCAGGAGAGGUAAGCGGAAUUCCUAGUGUAGCGGUGAAAUGCGGAGAUAUUAGGAGGAACACCAGUGGCGAAGGCGGCUUACUGGACUGUAACUGACGUUGAGGCUCGAAAGCGUGGGGAGCAAACAGGAUUAGAUACCCCGGUAGUC
rnacentral:rRNA from 1 species